UUGUACACACCGCCCAUCACGGCAGGAAAGUUGGGGGCACCCGAAUCCCGAUUAUAUCGGGAGAAGGUGAAACCAGCGAUCAGGCUGAAGUUGUAACAAGGUAUCCCUAGCUGAAGCUGGGGAUGGAUCACCUCCUUU
rnacentral:rRNA from 1 species